rnacentral:rRNA from 1 species
UCGACGAUGACUCUCUAGCUUGCUAGAGGGGAUUAGUGGCGGACGGGUGAGUAACAUUUAGGAAUCUGCCUAGUAGUGGGGGAUAGCUCGGGGAAACUCGAAUUAAUACCGCAUACGACCUACGGGUGAAAGGGGGCGCAAGCUCUUGCUAUUAGAUGAGAAUAAAUCAGAUUAGCUAGUUUUGGGGUAACCUUCCACCAAGGCGACGAUCUGUAACUGGUCUGAGAGGAUGAUCAGUCACACCGGAACUGAGACACGGUCCGGACUCCUACGGGAGGCAGCAGUGGGGAAUAUUGGACAAUGGGGGCAACCCUGAUCCAGCCAUGCCGCGUGUGUGAAGAAGGCCUUUUGGUUGUAAAGCACUUUACCAGGCUAAUGGUUCCUACCCAUUAGAUUAGACGUUACCUGCAGAAUAAGCACCGGCUAACUCUGUGCCAGCAGCCGCGGUAAUACAGAGGGUGCGAGCGUUAAUCGGAAUUACUGGGCGUAAAGCGAGUGUAGGUGGCUCAUUAAGUCACAUGUGAAAUCCCCGGGCUUAACCUGGGAACUGCAUGUGAUACUGGUGGUGCUAGAAUAUGUGAGAGGGAAGUAGAAUUCCAGGUGUAGCGGUGAAAUGCGUAGAGAUCUGGAGGAAUACCGAUGGCGAAGGCAGCUUCCUGGCAUAAUAUUGACACUGAGAUUCGAAAGCGUGGGUAGCAAACAGGAUUAGAUACCCUGGUAGUCCACGCCGUAAACGAUGUCUACUAGCCGUUGGGGUCCUUGAGACUUUAGUGGCGCAGUUAACGCGAUAAGUAGACCGCCUGGGGAGUACGGCCGCAAGGUUAAAACUCAAAUGAAUUGACGGGGGCCCGCACAAGCGGUGGAGCAUGUGGUUUAAUUCGAUGCAACGCGAAGGGCCUUACCUCCUCUUGACAUAGUGAGAAUCCUGCAGAGAUGCGGGAGUGCCUUCGGGAAUUCACAUACAGGUGCUGCAUGGCUGUCGUCAGCUCGUGUCGUGAGAUGUUGGGUUAAGUCCCGCAACGUUGCAACCCUUUUCCUUAUUUGCCAGCGGGUUAAGCCGGGAACUUUAAGGAUACUAGUGACAACUGUUGGAAGGCGGGGACGACGUCAAGUCAUCAUGGCCCUUACGACCAGGGCUACACACGUGCUAUUAUGGUAGGUACAGAGAAUUGCUACACAGCGAUGUGAUGCUAAUCUCAAAAAGCCUAUCGUAGUCCGGAUUGGAGUCUGCAACUCGACUCCAUGAAGUCGGAAUCGCUAGUAAUCGCAGAUCAGAAUGCUGCGGUGAAUACGUUCCCGGGCCUUGUACACACCGCCCGUCACACCAUGGGAGUCUAUUGCACCAGAAGUAGGUAGCCUAACGCCCGA